rnacentral:rRNA from 1 species
AGAGUUUGAUCCUGGCUCAGGAUGAACGCUGGCGGCGUGCUUAAUACAUGCAAGUCGAACGGAGACAUUAGCAAUAAUGUUUUAGUGGCGAACGGGUGAGUAACGCGUUGGUGACCUGCCCCGAAGAGAGGGAUAACAGUCCGAAAGGAUUGCUAAUACCCCAUGUGGUUGUUUGGAUUAGAUGCCUUACAACUAAACGGAUUUAUUCGCUUCGGGAGGGGCCUGCGUACCAUCAGCUUGUUGGUAGGGUAAUGGCCUACCAAGGCUAUGACGGUUAGGGGACCUGAGAGGGUGGCCCCCCACAAUGGAACUGAAACACGGUCCAUACACCUACGGGUGGCAGCAGUAGGGAAUAUUGGUUAAUCUACGAAAGUGGGAACCAGCAACGCCGCGUGCACGAUGACGGCCUUCGGGUUGUAAAGUGCUUUUUGAGAGGAUGAGGAAGGACAGUACUCCUAG